rfam:Ictidomys tridecemlineatus contig120898, whole genome shotgun sequence.
GGAGUUGUAGCUCAGUAGUAGAGCACUUGCCUAGUAUGUGAGAAGCACUGGGUUCCAACCUCAGCAGCACAU